rnacentral:rRNA from 1 species
AUUGAACGCUGGCGGCAGGCUUAACACAUGCAAGUCGAACGAGUGGCGGACGGGUGAGUAAUGCUUGGGAAUCUAGCUUAUGGAGGGGGAUAACUACGGGAAACUGUAGCUAAUACCGCGUACCAUAGGAUGAGCCCAAGUGGGAUUAGCUAGUAGGUGGGGUAACGUCUCACCUAGGCGACGAUCUCUAGCUGGUCUGAGAGGAUGAUAAGACACACGGGGAAUGAGACACGGCCCAGACUCCUACGGUAGGCAGCAGUGGGGAAUAGUGCGCAAUGGGGGCAACCUGACGCAGCCAUGCCGCGUGAAUGAAGAAGGCCUUCGGGUUGUAAAGUUCUUUCGGUAGCGAGGCGUUAACUACAGAAGAAGCACCGGCUAACUCCGUGCCAGCCGCCGCGGUAAUAC